GCCAGACUCCUACGGGAGGCAGCAGUGGGGGAUAUUGCACAAUGGGGGGAACCCUGAUGCAGCGACGCCGCGUGGGUGAAGGAGCGUUUCGGCGCGUAAAGCCCUCUCGGCAGGGAAGAAGGAGGACGGUACCUGACUAAGAAGCCCCGGCUAACUACGUGCCAGCAGCCGCGGUAAUACGUAGGGGGCAAGCGUUAUCCGGAUUUACUGGGUGUAAAGGGGGCGCAGACGGCAGCGCAAGCCAGGAGUGAAAGCCCGGGGCCCAACCCCGGGACUGCUCUUGGAACUGCGCGGCUGGAGUGCAGGAGGGGCAGGCGGAAUUCCUGGUGUAGCGGUGAAAUGCGUAGAUAUCAGGAGGAACACCGGUGGCGAAGGCGGCCUGCUGGACUGCGACUGACGUUGAGGCCCGAAAGCGUGGGGAGCAAACAGGAUUAGAUACCCCCGUAC
rnacentral:rRNA from 1 species